rnacentral:rRNA from 1 species
GCCCUUCGGGGUACUCGAGCGGCGAACGGGUGAGUAACACGUGAGUAACCUGCCCCCGACUCUGGGAUAAGCCCGGGAAACUGGGUCUAAUACCGGAUACGACCACUUCCCGCAUGGGAUGGUGGUGGAAAGUUUUUUCGGUUGGGGAUGGACUCGCGGCCUAUCAGCUUGUUGGUGGGGUAACGGCCUACCAAGGCGACGACGGGUAGCCGGCCUGAGAGGGCGACCGGCCACACUGGGACUGAGACACGGCCCAGACUCCUACGGGAGGCAGCAGUGGGGAAUAUUGCGCAAUGGGCGAAAGCCUGACGCAGCGACGCCGCGUGGGGGAUGACGGCCUUCGGGUUGUAAACCUCUUUCAGCAGGGACGAAGUUGACGUGUACCUGCAGAAGAAGCGCCGGCUAACUACGUGCCAGCAGCCGCGGUAAUACGUAGGGCGCAAGCGUUGUCCGGAAUUAUUGGGCGUAAAGAGCUCGUAGGUGGCUUGUCACGUCGGGUGUGAAAGCUUGGGGCUUAACUCCAGGUCUGCAUUCGAUACGGGCUGGCUAGAGGUAGGUAGGGGAGAACGGAAUUCCUGGUGUAGCGGUGAAAUGCGCAGAUAUCA